UCUGUGUGUUUGCAUACGUGUCCUGCCUCUCUGCUCCCAGCCGUUAAGAGAUCAGAGUUGAUCGGUGGCUGUCCAGGCCUUUCAGAGACACUGACACGCCGGCAGCACAAUGAUGAUGUCACUGAUUCUACUGCUGGUCACCCUGGGGCUCCUUGUUCAGGAUUCAUCAGGAGAUAUCAUCCUGACUCAGUCUCCUGCAUCUCAGUCUGUUGUUCCAGGUCAGACUGUCUCUAUCAGAUGUAAAGCCAGUUCAACUGCCAGUACAUACCUUAACUGGUACCUCCAGAAACCUGAUGAACCUCCCAAACUCUUGAUUUAUUAUGCUACUAAUCGUCAGUCUGGAGUUUCAGGUCGUUUUAGUGGAAGAGGAUCUGGGACUGCCUUCACUCUGAGCAUCAGUGGAGUUCAGACUGAAGAUGCAGGAGAUUAUUACUGUCAGCAGAGUAACAGCAUCCCGUUCACACAGUGA